rnacentral:tRNA from 2 species
GUUUUUGUAGUUGAAUAACAACGAUAGUUUUUCGAGCUAUAAGUUUAGGUUAAAGUCCUGGCAGAAACA